AACGAACGCUGGCGGCGCGCCUAAUACAUGCAAGUCGAGCGAGAAGACGUAGCAAUACGUUUGUAAAGCGGCGAACGGGUGAGGAAUACAUGGGUAACCUACCCUCGAGUGGGGAAUAACUAGCCGAAAGGUUAGCUAAUACCGCGUACGCUCCUUGGACUUCGGUUCAUGGAGGAAAGCGAUACCGUGGGUAUCGCGCUCUUGGAUGGGCUCAUGUCCUAUCAGCUUGNGGUGAGGUAACGGCUCACCAAGGCUUCAACGGGUAGCUGGUCUGAGAGGACGAUCAGCCACACUGGCACUGCGACACGGGCCAGACUCCUACGGGAGGCAGCAGUAAGGAAUAUUGCGCAAUGGGCGAAAGCCUGACGCAGCGACGCCGCGUGGGGGAUGAAGGUCUUCGGAUUGUAAACCCCUUUCGGGAGGGAAGAUGGAACGAGCAAUCGUUCGGACGGUACCUCCAGAAGCAGCC
rnacentral:rRNA from 1 species